AACACAUGCAAGUCGAACGGUAACAGGAGAAAGCUUGCUUUCUUGCUGACGAGUGGCGGACGGGUGAGUAAUGCUUGGGAAUCUGGCUUAUGGAGGGGGAUAACGACGGGAAACUGUCGCUAAUACCGCGUAGAAUCGAGAGAUGAAAGUGCGGGACCGCAAGGCCGCAUGCCAUAGGAUGAGCCCAAGUGGGAUUAGGUAGUUGGUGGGGUAAAGGCCUACCAAGCCGACGAUCUCUAGCUGGUCUGAGAGGAUGACCAGCCACACCGGGACUGAGACACGGCCCGGACUCCUACGGGAGGCAGCAGUGGGGAAUAUUGCGCAAUGGGGGCAACCCUGACGCAGCCAUGCCGCGUGAAUGAAGAAGGCCUUCGGGUUGUAAAGUUCUUUCGGUAUUGAGGAAGGUUGUUGUGUUAAUAGCACGACAAAUUGACGUUAAAUACAGAAGAAGCACCGGCUAACUCCGUGCCAGCAGCCGCGGUAAUACGGAGGGUGCGAGCGUUAAUCGGAAUAACUGGGCGUAAAGGGCACGCAGGCGGACUUUUAAGUGAGGUGUGAAAUCCCCGGGCUUAACCUGGGAAUUGCAUUUCAGACUGGGAGUCUAGAGUACUUUAGGGAGGGGUAGAAUUCCACGUGUAGCGGUGAAAUGCGUAGAGAUGUGGAGGAAUACCGAAGGCGAAGGCAGCCCCUUGGGAAUGUACUGACGCUCAUGUGCGAAAGCGUGGGGAGCAAACAGGAUUAGAUACCCUGGUAGUCCACGCUGUAAACGCUGUCGAUUUGGGGAUUGGGCUUUAAGCUUGGUGCCCGAAGCUAACGUGAUAAAUCGACCGCCUGGGGAGUACGGCCGCAAGGUUAAAACUC
rnacentral:rRNA from 1 species